GCCCUCGUGGUGAAACUGGAUAUCACGCUCGGCUUCGAACCGAGGAUUCCGGGUUCGAGUCCUGGCGAGGGCACAA
rnacentral:tRNA from 12 species